rnacentral:lncRNA from 1 species
ACCUGCACGAUGUCCAGACAGCCAGCCCAGAGCAGGUGGUCACCACCUUGCUGGCUGGUCUCCCUGGAGGCAUUGUGGCCGACCUUCCUUUUCUGGAGCCAGAUUCCGAUGUGCCCCAAGGAUUACCAAGUCCUGUCCAGCCUCUUUCAAGGGCCAAGGUGAACGUGAAGAAUAAGGAAGAGCACGGCCUUGGCCUUUGUGCCCAUUGAUAGGGCCCCACCUGACUCAUCUUGGAGGCUCUCACUGGUUCUACCCGGGAAAGUUUGGGACUGGCCAGUGUGACUUAGGUGGGAUCGGUGAUUCAUUUUGCUCCCAGAGGGAACAAAAGCCCAGGUCUUCCCAAGGUCCCCUCUGCCCUGGCUGGCCUUGUCCCUUGGUCAGGGAAUGAGUCACCCCCCUCCUCAGGGCUGCUCCCAUUUUCACUUCGCCUCGGCCUUCAGACAUCAAUCAGGCAGCCAAUUCCUCUUUCCUUGGCUCUUGGGGGGAAAAAGGCCGGUGGAGACUUGGGCCUCACCUUGUGACGACGAGCCUGGCCCUUGGGUUCAGAUCCCAGCAGAAUGAGGCCAGAGCAUCCCGUGGAACUUACUCGCUCAUCCUUCUGGUGAGCCUGGUCAGGUUGCUGUGAGAUGUAAAUGAGAGAUUUGGUGGCGUGUGUGUAGCUGGUGCAUCACAGCGUUCAAGGACUGAUAGCUGCCGUGGCAUCCACCCCUGCGUUUAGUUUCUGGCGUAUGACAGGUGUUCAAUCAAUGCCAGUCAUGGCGGGAUGAUGAUGCUAUUAACAGAGAAGACAAAAAUAGAACCCUGGAGCCUUAACUGUCAAAGGCACUGCGGCCCGAGAUCACGAUCUUAUUACAGAUCACUGCUUAUUUUACCACAGAGGAUGUGGAGGCCCAGGGGAGAGAAACACCCGGCCUGAGGUCCCUGCAAGCUCAUUUUCCUUGACAAGGGCUCUUGGCUGACCCCACUUCACCCAGCAGAAGGGGGCCGUUUAGAGUGGAGGACUCACGGGCCGCAGGGUCUCUCUAGGAAAGGCCCACACCUUUCUGAAAGCUCCAUCCCAAGGAGUCCAGGAAGGUGACAGCCCUGCUUUUGGAAGCAAUCUAGAAGCCAUGAGGGUGUGCAGGUCACACGUGUGGCUCAGAGAC